AACGAACGCUGGCGGCAUGCCUAACACAUGCAAGUCGAACGAGACCUUCGGGUCUAGUGGCGCACGGGUGCGUAACACGUGGGAACCUGCCUUUAGGUUCGGAAUAACUCAGAGAAAUUUGAGCUAAUACCGGAUGAUGUCUUCGGACCAAAGAUUUAUCGCCUUUAGAUGGGCCCGCGUUGGAUUAGCUAGUUGGUGGGGUAAAGGCCUACCAAGGCGACGAUCCAUAGCUGGUCUGAGAGGAUGAUCAGCCACACUGGGACUGAGACACGGCCCAGACUCCUACGGGAGGCAGCAGUGGGGAAUAUUGGACAAUGGGCGAAAGCCUGAUCCAGCAAUGCCGCGUGAGUGAUGAAGGCCUUAGGGUUGUAAAGCUCUUUUACCCGAGAUGAUAAUGACAGUAUCGGGAGAAUAAGCUCCGGCUAACUCCGUG
rnacentral:rRNA from 1 species